rnacentral:lncRNA from 1 species
GGGUUGAGGGGCGCUAAAGGAUGGGACUGGAUGGUCAUCAGAGAUAGAUGGGAGGGGUUGAGGGGCGCUGAAGGAUGGGACUGGAUGGUGUUCGGAGAUAGAUGGGAGGGGUUGAGGGGAGCUGAAGGAUGGGACUGGAUGGUGCUGAAGGAUGGGACUGGAUGGAGCUGAAGGAUGGGACUGGAUGGUGCUGAAGGAUGGGACUGGAUGGAGCUGAAGGAUGGGACUGGAUGGUGGUCAGAGAUAGAUGGGAGGGGUUGAGGGGCGCUGAAGGAUGGGACUGGAUGGAGCUGAAGGAUGGGACUGGAUGGAGCUGAAGGAUGGGACUGGAUGGUGCUGAAGGAUGGGACUGGAUGGUGGUCAGAGAUAGAUGGGAGGGGUUGAGGGGAGCUGAAGGAUGGGACUGGAUGGUGGUCAGAGAUAGAUGGGAGGGGUUGAGGGUAGCUGAAGGAUGGGACUGGAUGGUGUUCAGAGAUAAAUGGGAGGGGUUGAGGGGAGCUGAAGGAUGGGACUGGAUGGAGCUGAAGGAUGGGACUGGAUGGUGCUGAAGGAUGGGACUGGAUGGUGUUCAGAGAUAG